UUUGAAUCUGGCGGUCUACGGCCGUCCGAGUUGUAAUCUAGAGAGGUGUUUUCCGUGCCGGACCGUGUACAAGUCCCUUGGAACAGGGCGUCAUAGAGGGUGAGAAUCCCGUCCAUGACACGGACUCCCGGUGCUCUGUGAUACACCUUCAAAGAGUCGAGUUGUUUGGGAAUGCAGCUCAAAAUGGGUGGUAAAUUCCAUCUAAAGCUAAAUACAGGCGAGAGACCGAUAGCGAACAAGUACCGUGAGGGAAAGAUGAAAAGAACUUUGGAAAGAGAGUUAAACAGUACGUGAAAUUGUUGAAAGGGAAACGCUUGAAGUCAGUCGCGUCUGCCAGGACUCAGCCUUGCUUCUGCUUGGUGCAAUUCUUGGUGGAUGGGCCAGCAUCGAUUUUGGUCGCCGGAAAAGGGCGGGAGGAAGGUGGCAGCUUCUGCUGUGUUAUAGCCUCUCGUCGUACACGGUGUCUGGGAUCGAGGAC
rnacentral:rRNA from 1 species